GAGGGAUAUUGGGCAAUGGGGGAAACCCUGACCCAGCAACGCCGCGUGAGGGAUGACGGUUUUCGGAUUGUAAACCUCUGUCCUCUGUGAAGAUAGUGACGGUAGCAGAGGAGGAAGCUCCGGCUAACUACGUGCCAGCAGCCGCGGUAAUACGUAGGGAGCAAGCGUUGUCCGGAUUUACUGGGUGUAAAGGGUGCGUAGGCGGAUUGGCAAGUCAGAAGUGAAAUCCAUGGGCUUAACCCAUGAACUGCUUUUGAAACUGUUAGUCUUGAGUGAAGUAGAGGUAGGCGGAAUUCCCGGUGUAGCGGUGAAAUGCGUAGAGAUCGGGAGGAACACCAGUGGCGAAGGCGGCCUACUGGGCUUUAACUGACGCUGAGGCACGAAAGUGUGGGUAGCAAACAGGAUUAGAUACCCUGGUAGUCCACACUGUAAACGAUGAUUACUAGGUGUGGGGGGUCUAACCCCCUCCGUGCCGGAGUUAACACAAUAAGUAAUCCACCUGGGGAGUACGACCGCAAGGUUGAAACUCAAAGGAAUUGACGGGGGCCCGCACAAGCAGUGGAGUAUGUGGUUUAAUUCGACGCAACGCGAAGAACCUUACCAGGUCUUGACAUCCAACUAACGAAGCAGAGAUGCGUUAGGUGCCCUUCGGGGAAAGUUGAGACAGGUGGUGCAUGGUUGUCGUCAGCUCGUGUCGUGAGAUGUUGGGUUAAGUCCCGCAACGAGCGCAACCCUUGUGAUUAGUUGCUACGCAAGAGCACUCUAAUCAGACUGCCGUUGACAAAACGGAGGAAGGUGGGGACGACGUCAAAUCAUCAUGCCCUUUAUGACCUGGGCUACACACGUACUACAAUGGCGUUUAACAAAGAGAAGCAAGACCGCGAGGUGGAGCAAAACUCAAAAACAACGUCUCAGUUCAGAUUGCAGGCUGCAACUCGCCUGCAUGAAGUCGGAAUUGCUAGUAAUCGCGGAUCAGCAUGCCACGGUGAAUACGUUCCCG
rnacentral:rRNA from 1 species